UUUGCACUCUAACUCUAAAAAUGUUUGCCAAGACUCUAAAUUCUCACAGUCAGGGGAGAAUCAUUACCAGGGGUGAAAUGCUUGUUUACCACUAGAAGUAUUAUCUUCUCCCAACAAAAGGAGGUCUACAGACAUCAGAGAAGCCAUUGUGAACAAAAGACUUGGCUGAUACCCUCACACCCAUGAAGAGGGUACAAGUCUACAUCCCAUCACAGCUUGAAUGCUGGGGGAAGGGAAUAAAAAUGCCUCUUGAGGAGAAAUUGGUAUUUAUAUGCUGUCUGGAUACUGAGGGACAAAUACUCCUAAAAUUAAUACACUGUUAGUUUGCUACAGUAUUGAUACAGCCUUAUCUUUGGUUUGAGAUCUGAGGACAAAUGACCUGGAGCACUUUGGUGUUCCCAGCUUGGAUGGCCUUGUUCUGUACUGUGCUGCCAUUAUCAAAGGGAAGUGUGUAAAAUAAAUCAUCUCACCAGGAGAAUUUAUUGCUACAAUAAAAAUAAAGGCCCCCUAGGUUCACUGAGUCCACUGUCCUGAAGACAGAGAGAGUAAGUUUGAGGAAUUUACUGCAGCAUACCACUGGGUCAUUGUACCUACCUGAAGAGUUGGCUCAGCAGACAGCUGGAGACAUCAAUAAAGAAAAUGCAACCUAAGGGGAAAAAAACUGGAGUAUUUGAUUUUUUUGAAAGGAAAAUGCACAUUAUUUUGGAGUCUGCAAACCAGACAAUAUCCUAGGUUUGUAUUUUGCUAAC